AAAAUAUUUUGGACUUGGGUAAUCAGUGGAUUAUUACUUACAGCCAUGUUGCCAGUAUAUGGCAAGGUACAGAUGCACAAGCAGAAGUAAAUCACAAAGAGAUAUAGAUACACAUUGGAAUGAGGAAUUUAUAAUUUUGAAGCUCAGAAACUCAUCCUUUGAAAAUCCAAAUCAAGUUUGAAUCAUCCAAACAAGGAAGUCUGUCUAUAUACGUUAACCUAAUACACUUCACAAACGACUUCUAAAUUAAUGUCUUCUCUGCUCUCACCAUAGGUACCCUUCUGAAUGCGCAUCGUACAAGCCUCUUUUUGCAUGAGAGGGGUAAUUGAUGUUACAAAAUUGACAUGUUGAAAAUCCAAAUCUCAUGUGAAAUACCAUCCAAACAAACUCAAAAAUGUACAUAUUGCAAUUUACCUGGAUCCAUGGUUAUAGACAAGCCACUACUCAAUACAUCGUGAUUCCAAUGGUCCAUACGCUCGUCCACUCUCCUUAGUCGGUAAGAUAAUAAUGAGUACAUUGCACAAACAAAUCUAUAGAUGAAACCUAAUUUGGUGACAUGGUCGAUGUACUAUUACUAAACCACCAGUAAAAAAUACAGUAAUUCGAAAAAGGAGCUAAACUUCGCUAACUUGGAAGCAGAUAUAAGCUUAAUCGUCACUUUUUUUGUCUUUUUCACAAAUAAUAUAAAAACGACAUAAAACAAAGUUCAAACACUGCUACAGCAUGCCGAAAGGACAAACAUCAUUUGGAAUCUUCCCAAAGUUCAGCCUUUGCACAAUUCUGACUACAUUUGGAAAUUCCUAGGUGGUCUCAACCUGGACAACAUUGUAAUCUUUUGGAAGCAGAAAAUGAUUUUACAACAUGUCCUACAUUGCAGUAUAGGCUUUAACCCAAAAUCACAAAAGGAAUUGUCAUAGACCUUCAACCAAAAAUAACAAGAGGACUUUUCAGAUAUCUAUUGCAUGACCAUCAUUACCAUAACUGAAAUUCAAUAAUCAAAUAGCCUCUAGCCCAUGCCCAAGACAAGUACUGGCAGUACAAAUAAUCCCCGAGGAGUGCAUUCUCAUAUAAGACAUUCAUCCACACUUGCAAUUCAAGUUAUAGACGCUUUGGUUUUUUCAGGUCAUGAUAGAGAAAAAGUUUAAAUACCCAAAACAGCAAUUACAGAUAUCCAAAACUACAAUAUAGGAUAAAAAUUCAACAACAGAAUAAAUGCACGUAGUGAGAAAAACCAGAACCAAACUGUAUUUAACUUGAGUCCGCUCCUACACUACUUAACACUCAAAUAAUUAAUUAAAAUUGACAUGCAAACCACCCGCUAAAAUUGCCAUCCUAAAUCCAAUUAAUUUUCAUUAAACUCUACAAGAACCGAGUUGAUUUCUACCACUUAACAAUUCAAAAGCAUAUCAAAAUAAUAAAACCUAAACCUCAGUUCCAAUAUCCAAAAAGCACACAAUUUUAUUCAUUCGUGUAUUUAUUUACACAGCCAUUUCUCACCUUCUUGUACUUCUUCGCCGGCCGUCCGCUCACCAAACACCUGAGAGAAUUUCCACUCGAGUGGCUGCGGUGGACCCAUUGGAGCUGCCGCUACUUCUCCCCCAUCACCACCGUUCAUUUUCCCCCACUUUCUCCCAAAAUUUAAAAAAAAAAAAAAAUGCCGACAAUUUUCACUUCAAUUAAUUACCAGACUGAAAAAUGAUUUAAAAAAAAAACGAUCUGGUCAGUAUUAGGUCUAGAAAUUUGAGAAUCUGUCGGAGAAGAAGAUCGGAACAGCAGCUUCAUGAAAAAUGUUGCAGUCAGAUUCAACCAUUUCUGAAUUUGUACACAUAUACAACAUCGAUUAGAACAAAAGAGGAUCCACACUGUCUCUCUAUAUAAACAUCUGCAUAUAUAGAUUGCGCAGGAAAACGAGAAAUUUCACUACAGCGCUGUUUUCUUUCUUGCUCCGUCUAAAAACAUUGCUAACACAAUUUUUUUCUCUUCUUUCCUCGGGACCCACUACCUCACCUCACCUCACCUGUUUUGCAUUCUACGAAAUCAUAUACUUUUGCCUAAAUUGUGAGUUUGUAAAGGCGUAUAUGGCAAAGAAAAAUGAAAGAAAUAUCCAUUUUGUUUGUAG
rnacentral:lncRNA from 1 species